CUGCCUCAGAAAGCAAGCAAAAGAAGUAAAGGAAAAGACAAAAUGACUUUGGUUAUCCUUUCCUUCACCAUUAAUAAAAGAAGGAAAGCCUCUGAGAUAGCCUCGCCAGCCCUGACUGAGGACUGGACCAGUUACGGAACUCUGAUUCAGAGCCCUUUGCUUCCAUCGGAUGGUGAGAUGGUGUUUUACUUCUCCAUCAUGGGAGGCUGCGGUGCAGUAGAGGAAGCAGGGUGCUGGGGUGCUGCCUCGCAGCUACACCACAACCUCUUGGCCACCCCAGCGGCGGGGGUGCCAUCCAGUCUUCAGUACAUCACUGUCAGUGUGUGUCUGUGGCCGCCUCUGGGUGUGUGUGUUUCUUUUUGUAUCUCCGUGUCAGUGUCAGGCCAUGUGUGUCUAUUUAUGUCGGCCUGUCUAGGCGUGCUCAGUGUGACAGGGAGCUGGGGGCGGUGUUGGUAAAGGAAGACAUUUCCAAGCCUCAGCUUUCCCCUCGGGGACAUCAGGAUGCUGGUAUAUAUGUACUUGCACAUAUAUAGAUACAGAGCUUUUGUCAUGCUGUUCAUUGGAUGGGGGCUGCAUUCAAGUGUCUGGCCAGGUAUGGCCUCAGCAGUGGCCUGACUGGGGAAGCCCCAUCUGCCAAGAGCACACAGAGUUGCCUUCCCGCCCUCCCUGUCCAUGGGGAGCCUGUCACUUCGCAGUUUACCAUCUACUCUCUAAUUUAUUAGAUGGGAAGGAGGAGAAAAUGAAAUGUUGCCUGAAGACAAUGGCCGAGACAGCUCGUCCCACCCUGCACAGCCGCCAGCGCCUCCUUCCCCAGCCUUGACUCCUCUGUCGUGAGUCUGCACAUUACUCUGCUAACCCUGAGGUGAUGGAAGAUGAGGAAUCAGCAGAGCCUGUCUCCUCGGGUCCUCCUAGAACCCCCUGCCAAGCCUGCUCUUCCUCUGGCCUGUAUGCUGCAGUGGUGGAAAGCCACUCCAACCCAGCCCAGAGCGUCCGGCGAAAGGAAGUGAUGGGUCAGGCUCUGUUCAGCUCUUUUGGAAAGAGAGAAGUCGCAACUCCUGCUAGGGUCACAGGACGAAUACAGAGCCAAGCUGCUUCAGAAACAGAAGAAUGGAGCAGGAAAGAAAAUGCAACGUCACCACCCUGUCACCACCCUGAGGCCACUGCACAGGGUGCAACCCAGCCACCAGGGACUCGGCAGGAGACCAGGGAAAGUGCCCCACAGCCCUCCUAGAGUGCCUCUGUCGUUGACGUGGCAACUCCUCCACGCCUGCCCAUGCCACACCUUUCAGGACUGUUCUGGGUCUGCCGUGCUGUGGGACACUCUGUCCAGCCACUUGGGAAACGGAAACUUCACCACGGCAUUUCCACCCUGGAGAACUAGGCAGCACACUGGGAAGCAGCCAGGGAAGGGACUCCAGCCUCCCAGGAGUUAAAGAUGCCUCUCCCCAGCUGUCCUCCCCUUGGUGCUCCUUUUCCUCCCUCCUUCUGCUCACAGCAGGCAGGGCCUGGAACCAGGAGCCAUGCUGCUAUGCUGUUGCCAGGGGAGCUGGGAGGCAGAUUGGAGCUAUGCAGGGAAAAGGCUCAGCCUGUCAAAGUGUCUGAGAUGAACCACCGCCAUCCUGUGCAGCUGGGCUCAGCUGUGUCUCGGCUCUUGUUCUGUGCCUGAGAACGGUGAAGCCCAGUGAGGUUCAAGGGCACACUCGCUAUUCAUUAGUCAGGGGUUCUUGACGUCCUGUCUCUCCCAGGCAUGGGUUCCCCCCUUCCUCUUUCUCUCCCUCCUGUGACACAUUCCUGGGUGCCUGUGGUGAGGACUGCACACCCCCUCCUGCAUGGCCCCCUCCACACAAAUCCUGAAUCAACUCCUGUUAAGGACACCGGGCGGGACAGAGACAAUGGCUUCAAGAAACCAUUCAGGCGGGACCCCAGCCACAUUCGCCUGCCCUCCACUCCCAGUGCCCCUACAGAUCCAACUCUGCUGUGACUCAGGGCACCCUUGGGCCCCCAGCUUGCACAAGCCUAGACAGGAGCAGGCCACUAGGUACUGCCCUACACAACAGGCCAGCGAAGUGCUAUUCUCAGUGGGCCCCUCAGUGGGCGCCUCUAUCCCACUGGCUAGAUAUUUUUGUGCAGUUGUUUGGGGACUAGAAACUGUACAGUAUUUUCUGAAAUGUCACAAUGUCAACAUGUAAAAGGUGCAUUUACUUGGUUACUAAUUUUAUGACUAGGAAUUUUCUCCAGAUACAUUGGGAAGGUUUGCUAAGAAGCAUGGACAAGGAACUGCGGUUCAACUACUGUGUCAUUUACUACUGUGGAAUGCUACAGAGCCGUAAAAGUGUGGCAAUCUCUGCACACCAGUGAUAUCCAAGGCUGACUGAUAAACUUAAGUGGAUAUAAUCUAUUCAGACAAAUAAUAAAUAAAUAAUAAUAUAUUACAG